ACUGCGUUGUUAUGGCUUGCUUAUUGGAGACAACACAAUAAAACCAUUUGUAUAUUUUCUUUAGAUCAGGAACUGGAGGAGGGCCUGCUAAGAGGGUGCAUUACACCCAUUAUGAGAAGCUGCUGCUGCCGUUCCUACACCGGGAGAGCGUGAGCGGUGUGUCCGGAACCUUCGAUACAGACCGGAAUGUUGGCCAAGAUUCAUCUCCACCUGGGCCGAGCGGACGCAGACGCAUCUGCUCACGUUCCAGGUGGUCGCUCCUCGUCUGGGCUCUACUCCCCACGCUGCGAUCCUGAAAUUGAAGGAGAGGGAUUUAGUGGGGAGGCAAGCUAGAGAGGGUCCCACAUCGGUGGCAGCGGCGUGGCCUUCUCCUCAGAUGAGGAGCCAGCCAAUAUUCCCCAGCAGCAGCAGCUCCCAACCCAGCCCACCGGAGAGAAUGUGGCCCCCAGGGAACAGGCUAAAAAUAGGUUCCACAAAUCUCUAAUUAGGCACCACAAAGCACUUAUGCGCAAAAUGGACCAACUGCAUGUCGACUUGUGUGUGGCACUAAUGCAGGUCAGGCAAGGCAAGCCGCACAUGAGUCAGCAAUGCUAAGCCUUCAGCAAGGAGAUGGUCAGACUCCAUCAGGCCAGUGAGGCCAGGAAAGCACAGCAUGAGGCUAAGAUGGAGAGCCUCCAGCAGGCCAGACAUCAAAGUCAAUCCCAACAUGAGGCUGCCAUGUUGAGCCUGCAGGAGGAACAGGUAGAGCUUAAAAGACAAAAACUGGCUCUGUUGGCAGAACAAAAUGCUAGAGAAAAACAACAAAUUGCUGAACAAAAGCCAACAGAGCCCACAAGCUCUACCAGCGCAGCUCCCCCUCCUGCAGGUUCAACAAGGCAGCUUUGCAAGAGAAAAUAAAUUGGGCACAGUGCAAUUAGAGAUUUGUGGAACCUAUCUUUUAUUUGGGCUGUUUAUUUGUUUGUUUUGUUGGUUUUUUUUUUCUUACUUUCUUGCCAGGUGUUAAACCUGUUACAAAAAUCAAUAUUUGGGAAGUGUUCCCUGAAAAUAAAUAUAUUUUUUUUGGGA